rnacentral:piRNA from 1 species
UGGGUGGGAGGCAGGCAAGAGGCCAAUGCU